rnacentral:rRNA from 1 species
AUUGAACGCUGGCGGCAGGCCUAACACAUGCAAGUCGAACGAGUGGCAGACGGGUGAGUAAUGUCUGGGAAACUGCCAGAUGGGGGGGGAUAACUACUGGAAGCGGUAUCUAAUACCGCAUACCCUCGGAUACGCCCAGAUGGGAUUGGCUAGUAGGUGGGGUAAAGGCUCACCUAGGCGACGAUCCCUAGCUGGUCUGAGAGGAUGACCAGCCACACUGGAACUGAGACACGGUCCAGACUCCUACGGGAGGCAGCAGUGGGGAAUAUUGCACAAUGGGCGCAAGCCUGAUGCAGCCAUGCCGCGUGUAUGAAGAAGGCCUUCGGGUUGUAAAGUACUUUCAGCGAGGAGGCGUUACUCGCAGAAGAAGCACCGGCUAACUCCGUGCCAGCAGCCGCGGUAAUAC